GCGGGAGGAGAGCCGUCGGCGUGAAGGGUUUUUUUUUUGUUUGUUUGUUUAUUUUUUGGAGCAGGCUGUGGGAGGCCCGGAGCUAGCUAGUUGCCAGAGAAUGUGCAGUUGAAACUGGAAAGUUUAGGGAGGUGGAGCAGAAAAAAGAAAGGAGGGCGUGUCUCCGGAGAGGGCUGUAACUGGGCAGCUGGUUCCACCGGCCUGGGGAUAAACAGCAGCUGCGGACACCCCCGGUGGCGGCGCGGCCCGGGCUGCCGCUCCCAGGUCCGCGAAGGGGCUCGGCCCGGGCUCUAAAGAUGCACACGCCAAGCGCGCGCGUAGGGUGAUUAAGACUCCCAGAAAGUCGUCAGGAUGUGGCGGUGUUAACGCUGGCGUUGCAGAUGGGCCUGGCAGCCAGAUCAUCAAGUCAAACUGUACAAAGUCUCUAGCAGCGUAAUAAUGUGGAUUUACCUGAACUGCAGCAUUGUUUUAGGUCCUUCAGUGACUGGUUGAUGAGGAAUAAUAGGACAUUCUAACAAAAGCGAAGAAAGAGGAAGAAAAAGAUAGGAUCUCACUUUGUUGCCCAGGCUGGUCUUGAACUUCUAGGCUCAAGGGAUCCUCCCGUCUCAGCGGCUGCAAACAAACCAUUUUCAUUGUAAGCCACCUCUUUGUGUGCUAAUCCUAUCAAUAAUUACAUUGUACGCUCCUCAAAGGAAAGAAGUGUGUUUCAUGACUCUGAUAAAACCUUUUAUUAUCAACUCCUGGGGGGCCAGGUACAAAGGUUCCCAGCUGGUCCUCCCCAGGGACAGUGUCUUUCAAGCUGCCUUCUGACCUGCUUCCUGUGUCAGCUUCCUAAAGCACAUGUCUGGGCAUGUCUCUUGCUCUACAAAUUCCAGGGCUAGAUGAUAAAAAGUCUUGAGAAUGAGAUUCUAGGCCAGCACUGUUGAUUAAAAAUCCAUGCCAGACCAUAUAUGUAAUUUAAAAUUUCCUAGAAGCCACAUUUAAAAAAAAAAAUUAAAAGGAAUAGGUGAAUUAAAUUUUGAUAAUUUAUUUAACCCAGUAUAUCCAAAAUAUUAUCAUUUCCACAUGUAAUCAAUAUAAAAAAUUAUUGAAGUAUUUCCCAUUCUUUUUCUCUGUGAGACUCAGUUGCCUCCUCUGUGAAAGGACACUAACACUUCACAGGACUGUGGAUGAUGAAAAUGGGAUGCUCCAGGCAGAGCCCAUUGUAUUCCCUUGCUAAUGCUGCUGUAA